rnacentral:siRNA from 1 species
GAGAGAGUUAGCCUCCUUUCA